AUUGAACGCUAGCGGCAGGCCUAACACAUGCAAGUCGAACGGAGCGGCGGACGGGGGAGUAAUGCCUAGGAAUCUGCCUGGUAGUGGGGGAUAACGUCCGGAAACGGGAGCUAAUACCGCAUACUAUCAGAUGAGACUAGGUCGGAAUAGCUAGUUGGUGGGGUAAAGGCCUACCAGGGCGACGAUCCGUAACUGGUCGGUGAGGAUGAGCAGUCACACUGGAACUGAGACACGGUGCAGAUGCCUCCGGGAGGCAGGAGUGGGGAAUAUUGGACAAUGGGCGAAAGCCUGAGCCAGCCAGGCCGCGUGUGUGAAGAAGGUCUUCGGAUUGUAAAGCACUUUAAGUUGGGAGGCGUUACUAACAGAAUAAGCACCGGCUAACUUCGUGCCAGCAGCCGCGGUAAUAC
rnacentral:rRNA from 1 species